rnacentral:rRNA from 1 species
CCUACGGGUGGCAGCAGUGGGGAAUAUUGCGCAAUGGGCGAAAGCCUGACGCAGCGACGCCGCGUGAGGGAUGAAGGUCUUCGGAUCGUAAACCUCUGUCAGCAGGGAAGAACGGUCACUUUGCUAAUCAGCAGUGCAUUGACGGUACCUGCAAAGGAAGCACCGGCUAACUCCGUGCCAGCAGCCGCGGUAAUACGGAGGGUGCGAGCGUUAAUCGGAAUUACUGGGCGUAAAGCUUUCGUAGGCGGUAUGUCAAGUCAAGGGUGAAAUCCCCGCGCUCAACGUGGGAACUGCCUUUGAAACUGGCAAACUGGAGUGUGGGAGAGGAUAGUGGAAUUCCAGGUGUAGGAGUGAAAUCCGUAGAUAUCUGGAGGAACAUCAGUGGCGAAGGCGACUAUCUGGCACAUAACUGACGCUGAGGAGCGAAAGCGUGGGUAGCAAACAGGAUUAGAUACCCCUGUAGUC